CCUACGGGAGGCAGCAGUGAGGAAUAUUGGUCAAUGGACGAGAGUCUGAACCAGCCAAGUAGCGUGAAGGAGUACUGCCCUAUGGGUUGUAAACUUCUUUUAUAUGGGAGUAAAAUGUUCAACUUUUGGGAUUUUGUAUGUACCAUAUGAAUAAGGAUCGGCUAACUCCGUGCCAGCAGCCGCGUUAAUACGGGGGAACCGAGCGUUAUCCGGUUUUAUUGGGUUUAAAGGGAGCGUGGGUGGAUUGUUAAGUCAGUUGUGAAAGUUUGCGGCUCAACCGUAAAAUUGCAGUUGAAACUGGCAGUCUUGAGUACAGUAGAGGUGGGCGGAAUGCGUGGUGUAGCGGUGAAAUGCUUAGAUAUCACGAAGAACUCCGAUUGCGAAGGCAGUUCACUGGACUGCAACUGACACUGAGGCUCGAAAGUGUGGGUAUCAAACAGGAUUAGAUACCCUUGUAGUC
rnacentral:rRNA from 1 species